rnacentral:rRNA from 1 species
AAAUAGAUACCCCUGGUAGUCCACGCCGUAAACGAUGAGUGCUAAGUGUUAGAGGGUUUUCCGCCCUUUAGUGCUGCAGCAAACGCAUUAAGCACUCCGCCUGGAGAGUACGGUCGCAAGACUGAAACUCAAAGGAAUUGACGGGGGCCCGCACAAGCGGUGGAGCAUGUGGUUUAAUUCGAAGCAACGCGAAGAACCUUACCAGGUCUUGACAUCCUCUGACACUCCUAGAGAUAGGAUUUUCCCUUCGGGGACAGAGUGACAGGUGGUGCAUGGUUGUCGUCAGCUCGUGUCGUGAGAUGUUGGGUUAAGUCCCGCAACGAGCGCAACCCUUGAUCUUAGUUGCCAGCAUUCAGUUGGGCACUCUAAGGUGACUGCCGGUGACAAACCGGAGAAGGUGGGGAUGACGUCAAAUCAUCAUGCCCCUUAUGACCUGGGCUACACACGUGCUACAAUGGAUGGUACAAAGGGCAGCGAAACCGCGAGGUUAAGCCAAUCCCAUAAAACCGAUUCUCAGUUCGGAUUGC